rnacentral:tRNA from 1 species
GGCAAAUAAUGGCAAAUCAUGUCAUUGAUAUUUAUAACAAACUAUUGAUUUUCGGUUGUUCUGAUAGGAACUCAUAAUCGCUUGGUCGCUGGUUCAAGUCCAGCAGGGGCCACCA